rnacentral:SRP_RNA from 2 species
GCUGGGCGUGGUGGUGCGCACCUGUAAUCCCAGCUUCCUGGGAGGCUGAGGCAGGAGAAUUGCUUGAACCUGGGAGGCGGAGGUUGCAGUGAGCUGAGAUCGCACCACUGCACUCCAGCCUGGGUGACAGAGCGAGACUCUGUCUCAA